UACGGGGGGGGCAAGCGUUGUUCGGAAUUACUGGGCGUAAAGGGCUCGUAGGCGGCCAGCUAAGUCAGACGUGAAAUCCCUCGGCUUAACCGGGGAACUGCGUCUGAUACUGGAUGGCUUGAGUUUGGGAGAGGGAUGCGGAAUUCCAGGUGUAGCGGUGAAAUGCGUAGAUAUCUGGAGGAACACCGGUGGCGAAGGCGGCAUCCUGGACCAACACUGACGCUGAGUGAGCGAAAGCCAGGGGAGCAAACGGG
rnacentral:rRNA from 1 species